rnacentral:rRNA from 1 species
UACAGAGGGUGCAAGCGUUGUUCGGAAUUAUUGGGCGUAAAGCGCGUGUAGGCGGCUUUGCAAGUCGGGUGUGAAAGCCCUCAGCUCAACUGAGGAAGUGCGCCCGAAACUGCAGAGCUUGAGUGCCGGAGAGGGUGGCGGAAUUCCCCAAGUAGAGGUGAAAUUCGUAGAUAUGGGGAGGAACACCGGUGGCGAAGGCGGCAUCCUGGACCGGCAUUGACGCUGAGGAGCGAAAGCGUGGGGAGCGAACAGG